UAAUACGUAUGGUGCAAGCGUUGUUCGGAAUCACUGGGCGUAAAGAGCGCGCAGGCGGAUUGAUAAGUCAGGUGUGAAAUCUUCGGGCUCAACCCGAAGCCUGCAUUUGAAACUAUUAAUCUCGAGUCUUGGAGAGGCAGGCAGAAUUCCUGGUGUAGCGGUGAAAUGCGUAGAUAUCAGGAGGAAUACCGAUGGCGAAGGCAGCCUGCUGGACAAUGACUGACGCUGAGGCGCGAAAGCGUGGGGAGCAAACAGG
rnacentral:rRNA from 1 species